GUUUACGGCUAUACCUAGGCAAAAACAGCACACCAGUUCCCGAUCGAUCACUGCAGCAAGUGAAAACCGUCUGAAGGCUCGUUAGUACUAUGGUUGGAGACAACAAGAGAAUCCGAAGUGCUGUAUGCU
rnacentral:rRNA from 1 species